UGUCAGUGACACGGAAGCUGCCUCCUGUAGAGAGAGAUGGCACUGGCUGCAGCUAGGGGGAGCUCCAGAGCACAGCUCCUCCCGGGCCCUUAGUAAGCCAGCCGAGGGAAGCUCAGAACUCUCUGCUCCUCCAUGCUCUGGAUGAUAGCCAAAGACAGCUGAAUCCCGCCCUGCCAGUUUUUGUGCGCCCUGCCGCCCCGCCGUUUGCUGCCUGCCGGACCCCUCCACGUCGGCCAGCCGUGCGCCGCCAGACCCGAGGAAUGGAUGGAUAUUCACAUAGUAUUGAUCUCUAUGGAGAGAUAUUGCUGCAGUGCACACAAACGCUUCGCCCGGAUGGAUGAUGGAGCAGUGAAGGGGAAAGUGGAGAAUCUCUUCGUUUCCAGCCUGUGUCCUGGAUGACGGCUGAGCUGAGCAACAUAUUGUACAUAGGGUUUAUUCUGUGUUGAGCGAAAAGUCACUUUCCCAUCUAGAGCUUCAUAAAGUGUCACUGCAGAAUGAGAAACAGUAAUAGUGUUCCUGAUGGACGGGCGGUAAGAGCUUGCCUUCAUGUCACACCUGCAGAUGGACGACUAUUCUUCUCCAUAGCAGUGCCACCUGCCCCAUAUGUCUUGAAUAUAGCAAUAUACGAUUCCCAAAGAUUCCCUAUGACGCUGCAACGUUAUUACUUUUGAGCAGUAAUUAUUUUGAGAUAUAUGCUUUGAACAUUUGACCUAUGGUUCCAGUUUUUAUUUC